AUUCUUAUGAACUUGCAAGGAAGAUCCUGGAAGAACUGGAAUUCUCACCAAGGUCACGCCCACUCCCUACCUGGUAGACAGUCUUCGAAAGUUCUGCGGCAAUUCAGCCACUCAGAGAUUCUAAUUUGAAGAGGACAUGGAUGAUGCAAGUCAAAAAGACAUUGCCUUCAACAAUAUCAACCACAAGCAGCAGGAG
rnacentral:lncRNA from 1 species